rnacentral:rRNA from 1 species
UACAGAGGUCUCAAGCGUUGUUCGGAUUCAUUGGGCGUAAAGGGUGCGUAGGCGGCGCGGUAAGUCGGGUGUGAAAUCUUGGAGCUUAACUCCGAAACUGCAUUCGAUACUGCCGUGCUUGAGGACUGGAGAGGAGACUGGAAUUUACGGUGUAGCGGUGAAAUGCGUAGAUAUCAAGAGGAACACCUGAGGUGAAGACGGGUUGCUGGCUGACACUGACGCUGAGGCGCGAAAGCCAGGGGAGCAAACGGG